rnacentral:rRNA from 1 species
AGUGAACGCUGGCGGCAGGCCUAACACAUGCAAGUCGAACGGCAGCACAGAGGAGCUUGCUCCUUGGGUGGCGAGUGGCGGACGGGUGAGGAAUACAUGGGAAUCUGCCCAAUCGUGGGGGAUAACGUAGGGAAACUUACGCUAAUACCGCAUACGACCUACGGGUGAAAGCGGCGGACCGCAAGGCGUCGCGCGAUUGGAUGAGCCCAUGUCGGAUUAGCUAGUUGGCGGGGUAAAGGCCCACCAAGGCGACGAUCCGUAGCUGGUCUGAGAGGAUGAUCAGCCACAAUGGAACUGAGACACGGUCCAGACUCCUACGGGAGGCAGCAGUGGGGAAUAUUGGACAAUGGGCGCAAGCCUGAUCCAGCCAUGCCGCGUGAGUGAAGAAGGCCCUCGGGUUGUAAAGCUCUUUUGUCCGGAAAGAAAAGCUUUCGGUUAAUACCCGGAAGUCCUGACGGUACCGGAAGAAUAAGCACCGGCUAACUUCGUGCCAGCAGCCGCCGUAACAC